AGUUUUUCCCAUUUGUUACCCCCGCCGUUGUUGCAAUGUUUUCAUUUGUCCACCAUCAGUUCACUCUACUUCAACUUUGGGUGAUUAAUAAAGUUCCUUGGCCUCCAUUGCAUGAAUCUUGUUGUAGCUUGCACAACUGUGUCAUCCAUUGGACGGGUUGUUGUCCUGAUUUUUAAAAUGUAUCGUGGGAUCUAGUUAGAGGAACAAUGGUACCUCUUCCAUGUAAAUAACACUAUCCACCCUUCUCUAUAAUACAUCGAAUUUUGAUGUACUUAUAUCCCUUCUACUCUAUAGACAUGAUUGAUACGGAGAUAAUUGAAUGCUCGAAAUCAGGAUUAUUUGAAAAGUACAUUGUUUCUCAGGUUCUUGAAGCUUUAUCAGACCAGCAGACCCCCUUUUUUACUGAGAGUCCUUUUUUGUUGGCUGUUGUAGACUAGGCUAAUUAGCUGCUUCACAGUUUUUGUUAUCAUGUUGAUAUGUAAAUAUAACUUCUUGUAAAGCUUAGCUUAAGCCUUUCCAGCCUCUUUACCUUUUUGCUGGUGAACGUCUCAGAUAAGGGCAUUGUAAUUUUUCACUAUCAACUAUUCUCUUUCCUGUUGCAUGUACC